rnacentral:lncRNA from 1 species
CUUAUUUUAAUAGCAUCUUUAUAAUCUUCUUUUUGUUUAUACUCAAAAAAUAACAUCGAAAUUCCAGCUAAUAAAUCAACAUACUAGAAAUAGUUAGAUAAUAUACCCCAGAAAAUUCUUUUGUACAAAAAAUGCUAGAUUUAAAAAAAAAAAAAUAUUGGGUACCGGUACAGGUGUGGUACUGGUACGGUCUUAAGGGUACUAAAUCGGGUACCCUACUAUUACCCUUACCCUCCACCCCAAAUUUUUCACCCCUACCCAACCACCGGAGCGAUACGGUACAGCAUCGGUAUCAAUACGGUUCUGUACGGGUACCGGUAAUACCGUACCAUUAGACAGCCCUACCUGUCAAGAAAAAAGAAAAAUUCAGGCGCGCACACAUUGAAGAUUGUGUCUUAAAUGGUUAAGGCCUAAAGUAGAAAACUGAAUUUUCGAGGUCAUCCUCCUUUAAAAAUCUAUCAUUUGCCUGACAUAGAAAAGCAUGGUUGAUCAAAAGUUCUGCAAAGAGAGAAAAGAAAAAUCUUAACAAAAAUUAGGCAGGAAGGCUUUUUCUAUAGUCAGAAUGUCCGAUACACUUCUUUCAAAAACCUACAAAGGGACUGUAACUUUUCGUUCAGUACCUUCUACUGUAAUAGUUUUGUUUCUGUUUAUCAAUAAAAGGCUUUCCUUAGAAAAAAGAAAAGGUCCAGUUAAUUGAAUUCUGCCAUAAGAAUUGUAACUUACGUACUUAAUAUUCUUCCUUACCAGAUUUUUAGCAGUAAAAUUGAUGCUCUUUCUUUUCCUCUGUAAAGAUAUCUUAUUAUAAUAACCUUGUGGUACCUGGAUAGUCUAAUACCCUCAGGCCUCAUUUGUUUGCACCAUAGGAUUGCGUAGAAGCGUUCAUAACACGCAGCGGAAGAUAAUAACAAUCCUAGACAGAACUUUUUGUGUUUAAAAUUUAUUUUGCAUGUCAAAGAUCGGAUCUAAGACGUACCUAGUGAAGAGAGUCUCGUUUUAAAUUUCUCCGAUAGUGCGAAGAUUCUAUGCGUAUCCACACCGAGACUGAUCCUUACUAUCAACUCUUUGAUCAAUAAAAUCCCGCGAACAAAUUGAAUAAAAAUAUUGUGUUGAAAUUUUUCUCAAAAAUCUCAACUCAUAGGUAGAAGAACAAGAAAUAAUUUUCUUGUACUAGUAUUUUCUAUCUUAGCUUUGUAUUGCAUUAUUACUUUCUCAAAACAAUUUUCUUCUCAAGAAUAACUCUCUUGGUUUUUACAUGACUUUACAAUAUGUAUAAGAUCUAUAUCUUCC